rnacentral:rRNA from 1 species
UACGUAGGGUGCAAGCGUUAAUCGGAAUUACUGGGCGUAAAGCGUGCGCAGGCGGUUAUGUAAGACAGAUGUGAAAUGCCCGGGCUUAACCUGGGAACUGCAUUUGUGACUGCAUGGCUAGAGUUUGGCAGAGGGGGGUAGAAUUCCACGUGUAGCAGUGAAAUGCGUAGAGAUCCGGAGGAACACCGAAGGCGAAGGCAGUGUCCUGGGGAGUACCUGACGCUCAGGUGCGAAAGCCAGGGGAGCGAACGGG